GAUGAAGAACGUAGCGAAAUGCGAUAAGUAAUGUGAAUUGCAGAAUUCUGUGAAUCAUCGAAUCUUUGAACGCACAUUGCGCCCGCCAGCAUUCUGGCGGGCAUGCCUGUUCGAGCGUCAUUUCAACCCUCGAGCCCCCCCGGGGGCCUCGGUGUUGGGGGACGGCACACCAGCCGCCCCCGAAAUGCAGUGGCGACCCCGCCGCAGCCUCCCCUGCGUAGUAGCACACACCUCGCACCGGAGCGCGGAGGCGGUCACGCCGUAAAACGCCCAACUUUCUUAGAGUUGACCUCGGAUCAGGUAGGAAUACCCGCUGAACUUAAGCAUAUCAAUAAGCGGAGGA
rnacentral:misc_RNA from 1 species